GUUGUAUUUAGUGUUGUGUUCAGUGUUGUGUUUGGUUUUGUGAUGUUUCUGGUAGUGUGUUUGGUGUUGUGUUUGGUGUUGUAGUGGUGACUUUGGUGUUGUGUUUGGUGUUGUAGUGGUGACUUCGGUGUUGUGUUUGGUGUUGUAGUGGUGAUUUUGGUGUUGUGUUUGGUGUUGUAGUGGUGAUUUUGGUGUUGUGUUUGGUGUUGUAGUGGUGAUUUUGGUGUUUGGUGUUGUGGUGAUGUUUUUGGUGUUGUGUUUGGUGUUGUAGUGGUGAUUUUGGUGUUUGGUUUUGUAGUGGUGAUUUUGGUGUUGUGUUUGGUGUUGUGGUGGUGAUUUUGGUGUUGUGUUUGGUGUUGUAGUGGUGAUUUUGGUGUUGUGUUUGGUGUUGUAGUGGUGAUUUGGUGUGUGUUUGGUGUUGUAGUGGUGAUUUUGGUGUUGUGUUUGGUGUUGUGGUGGUGAUUUUGGUGUUGUGUUUGGUGUUGUGGUGAUGUUUUUGUGUUGUAUUUGGUUUUUGUAGUGGUGUUUUUUGUGUUGUAUUCGGUUUUUGUAGUGGUGAUUUUGGUGUUGUGUUUGGUGUUGUAGUGGUGAUUUUGGUGUUGUGUUUGGUGUUGUAGUGGUGAUUUUGGUGUUGUGUUUGGUGUUGUAGUGAUGUUUUUGGUGUUGUGUUUGGUGUUGUGGUGAUGUUUUUGGUGUUGUGUUUGGUGUUGUAGUGGUGAUUUUGGUGGU
ensembl:lncRNA